GACGGAGGAUGCAAGCGUUAUCCGGAAUGAUUGGGCGUAAAGCGUCCGCAGGUGGCAGUUCAAGUCUGCUGUCAAAGACCGGGGCUUAACUUCGGAAAGGCAGUGGAAACUGAACAGCUAGAGUAUGGUAGGGGCAGAGGGAAUUCCUGGUGUAGCGGUGAAAUGCGUAGAUAUCAGGAAGAACAUCGGUGGCGAAGGCGCUCUGCUGGACCAUAACUGACACUCAGGGACGAAAGCUAGGGGAGCGAACAGG
rnacentral:rRNA from 1 species